rnacentral:ncRNA from 1 species
UGUGCGGGACGGCCCGCGCGCUACGGUUCGUAUCGGGGACGACCCCA